rnacentral:pre_miRNA from 1 species
GGCUCAGACUUGAAGUAGAGUAGAUUAGUGGGAUCAGCUGGCCAUACUAAUCUCCCCUUCAAGUUUGAGCCC